GGCCCUACGGGGCGCAGCAGGCGCGAAAACUUUACAAUGCGAGCAAUCGUGAUAAGGAAACCCNGAGNGCCNGUCAANGCAGGCNGUUCUGGNGUCUAACACACACCAGGAGAAAGGGCGGGGCAAGACCGGUGCCAGCCGCCGCGGUAAUACCGGCUGCUCGAGUGAUAGCCACUUUUACUGGGCUUAAAGCGUUCGUAGCUUGGUCGUUAAGUCUCUGGGGAAAUCUUUUGGCUCAACCAAAAGGCGUCUCAGGGAAACUGGCGAUCUUGGAACCGGGAGAGGUAAGACGUACUUCGGGGGUAGGAGUGAAAUCUUGUAAUCCCCGAGGGACAACCGAUGGCGAAGGCAUCUUACCAGAACGGCUUCGACAGUGAGGGACGAAAGCUGGGGGAGCAAACCGGAUUAGAUACCCGGGUAGUCCCAGCCGUAAGCGAUGUGCGUUAGGUGUGUCAGUGACCACGAGUCGCUGAGGUGCCGAAGGGAAACCGUGAAACGCACCGCCUGGGAAGUACGGUCGCAAGGCUGAAACUUAAAGGAAUUGGCGGGGAGCACCACAACGGGUGGAGCCUGCGGUUUAAUUGGAUUCAACGCCGGA
rnacentral:rRNA from 1 species